rnacentral:rRNA from 1 species
GCCCACACGAAGUCGGAGUUGCUAGUAAUCCCGAAUCAGCAUGUCGGGGUGAAUGCGUUCCCGGGUCUUGUACACACCGCCCGUCACGCCAUGGGAGUCGGAAGUGCCCAAAGUCGGUGACCUAACCGCAAGGAAGGAGCCGCCUAAGGUAAUGCCGAUGACUGGGGUGAAGUCGUAACAAGGUAAC